UGCGCAGGCGGUUUUGUAAGACAGAUGUGAAAUCCCCGGGCUUAACCUGGGAACUGCGUUUGUGACUGCAAGACUUGAGUAUGGCAGAGGGGGGUAGAAUUCCACGUGUAGCAGUGAAAUGCGUAGAGAUGUGGAGGAAUACCGAUGGCGAAGGCAGCCCCCUGGGUCAAUACUGACGCUCAUGCACGAAAGCGUGGGGAGCAAACAGGAUUAGAUACCCUGGUAGUCCACGCCCUAAACGAUGCCAACUAGGUGUUGGGGAAGGAGACUUCCUUAGUACCGUAGCUAACGCGUGAAGUUGGCCGCCUGGGGAGUACGGUCGCAAGAUUAAA
rnacentral:rRNA from 1 species